AACCAGACAAUAUUUCAUAACAUCCAAAUUUGCCAUAAACUAAUGUAGCUACUUAACUAGAGGAAACAUUAUGGUUCAUUGUCUCAAACACAAUGUGGGUUUACAAAAUGAUAGGUAAAAUGCAUCUCCAAUGUUUCAAUCACCAUUACACAAAAUAUCCUGAACCUUCGGCUUCAUGGUUCCUGGUCCGCUUGCAUGUCUUUCCU
rnacentral:lncRNA from 1 species